rnacentral:tRNA from 1 species
GUUUAAAUAGCUUACAAAGAGCGUAGCACUGAAGAUGCUAAGGAGAUUUUAGGAUCUUUGAACA